CCUACGGGUGGCAGCAGUCGAGAAUCAUUCACAAUGGGGGAAACCCUGAUGGUGCGACGCCGCGUGGGGGAAUGAAGUUCUUCGGAUUGUAAACCCCUUUCAUGUGGGAGCAAAUUCAAAAGAUAGUACCACAAGAGGAAGAGACGGGUAACUCUGUGCCAGCAACCGCGGUAAUACAGAGGUGUCAAGCGUUGUUCGGAAUCACUGGGCGUAAAGCGUGCGUAGGCUGUUUCGUAAGUCGUGUGUGAAAGGCGCGGGCUCAACCCGCGGCUGGCACAUGAUACUGCGAGACUAGAGUAAGGGAGGGGGAAGCGGAAUUCUCGGUGUAGCAGUGAAAUGCGUAGAUAGCGAGAGGAACACUCGUGGCGAAGGCGGGUUGCUGGACCUUAACUGACGCUGAGGCACGAAGGCCAGGGGAGCGAAAGGGAUUAGAUACCCCUGUAGUC
rnacentral:rRNA from 1 species